CCUUCGAUAGCUCAGUUGGUAGAGCGGGGGACUGUAAAUUCCUAUAACUGUGAUCCCUAGGUUGCUGGUUCGAAUCCGGCUAUAAGAU
rnacentral:tRNA from 1 species